rnacentral:misc_RNA from 1 species
GCUGGUGGAGAAGCAACUGGGGCAGGUGGUGGUAAUACUGGUGGUUGUGAUGGACUUGAGACAGGUGGAAUUGGUGGAGGUUGUGGUGGUGGGGUCGCUGGAGCAGAAACGGGGGCAACUUUAGGCGGAGGUACUAUUGGAGGUGGUGCUGAAGUUACUGGUGGCUGUGAUGGUGCAACAGGCGUAGUGGAAGGCGGGGGUGUUGCUGCAACAGGUGUCGUAGUAGGUGCUGAAGUUA